rnacentral:snoRNA from 1 species
CUGGAGUAACAUCUGGCGAAGUAGCAGGGUAGAGAGGGGAAACCUGCCUUUUCCCCAUGGCCCAGUGUCCAAUGAGUGCAAGCAGCAACUUCCAUGGGAGUGUCAGCCACCUAUUGCUUAUAAAGGUUGCCUUAAGGAAUCUUGGAAAUGCUU